AGCCCACCAGCCGUGCGAUUCUGUAAGCGUUGUUUAACAAACUCGCACGUGAAUUUGGUGUGAGUUUUCAAAUUGGCAUUCUGUAAAUUUCAUUGUAGUGCCGAAUCUACACUAGCGCCCCUCGCGGGUGAAUUGAACUAGCAAGCGUGAGUUUUUUUUACUAAAAUGUAUGAGUUGACGUUUGAAACGGCAUUCUGUAGUGUAAAUCACGUCGAAUUUCGGCAAGAACUUCGCAUCGCAAAAUCAUUUUAAUUGUCAAAUCAAAAGUUAGUGUUUUAUGUGUUUGUUGUGAGUGAGAAUAUACGAAAACGUUAUAAACCGCUGUUAAUUAUUAAAAAAAUACUAUUAAUUAACAAAAUUGCACUUUAAAAUAACUUUAUUCUUCAUCGAUAUUUUGUGGAGCGUAUGUUUUUAUUGAAAACAUUGUUGAAAGAGGCUGACGCUACGGAUCAGCGUGAAAUGCGUCGACAAGCCUACGAAAUUCACAAUUUAUCACUUUUAACUUGAGAUGACGACCAUGUAAAAGUAUAAAGAAAGUGUAUAGAUUGUCGAAGGAUCAUAUGAACCAGUUAGGGUGUGAAUUACACCCUUUGAUGAAGACCACUAAAAGCCAUUGAAAAGGACUUUCAACUCUUCUAAAGUUUCAGUUAUUGUGCACCUUGUUAUUUUUGGCCAAUUGAAGUUACCAAAAAAAUCAUAAAAGAAAAUAUAAGAACACAUUUGUCCCAGACAUCCCAGUGUAUAUCUGAGGUUGUGGAGGCUCUGAACAACCCAGCAACUAUAUAUAAAUAUUUAAGAUUCCCACAGAAUGCUCAAGAAUGGCAAAAGUUGAAGGAAAAGCAAAGAAAAAAGAAGAAGGUGGUUUAAGCUAAAUAGGAACAGAUGGCGGUGCACUAUAAAAAACAAACUGUUUCAAGGCCAUGACCACGACCCUCAGUAAUGAGGAAACCCAUGCAAGGAGGAGGAGGAGAGGUUUAAGCUAAAUAAAAAAAUGUUUUCUUCAUAAAAAAUUACCAAUAUUAAUGUAAUGCUAAAUAUUGCAGUUUUUAUGAAAAAUUUAGAAUCCUUUGGGUUAUUGGGUGUAUUGAUGGGAAGUUGGUGGCCUUAAAAAGAUCUGCUACCAAUAAAAAAUGGUUUUACUGUCGCAAAGAAUAUCAUGCAAGAAAUGUACAAUUUGUAAAGCUAUUAAUAUUUUUCGAAAUUCUGAUAUGUAAUCCAUAAACGAAAUGUGUAUUAAGAACCUAUGUAUUCAGAUUGUAUUCAUUUCAGUUAAAUUGUAAUUGUGUAUAUUGCUAUAAGUUAUUGUGAAAUAUAGUAUUUAUCUUAAAUAAACUUUAUUCAGUUAUAAUCAAAACAAAAUAAAAUCUACUAGAUUAGUCAAUGACAGCAAGUAAUGACCAUUAUAAUUAUUUAACAUCUUUUCGGGCUUUCUGUAUAUUGUCAACGUUCCAACCAUAUGACACCUUUUGCUAUUUUUUUUUUCAUUGCUUAGAUCGGUGGACGAGCUCCCAGCCCACCUGGUGUUAAAUGGUUACUGAAGCCCAUAGACAUCUACAACAUAAAUGCGCCACCCACCUUGAGAUAUAAAUUCUAAGGUCUCAGUAUAGUUACAACAGCUGCCCCACCCUUCAAACCGAAACACAUUACUGCUUCACGGCAGAAAUAGGCGAUAACGCUAUGCUAUGCUAGCUAAUACCUGCUAAUAAUAGCUAGCUAUUGCUAAUAUGGAGGAAGAUACUCCUGAUGCUUUGUAGCACCGCCUUCAUUCCACUGCCCGUAAUUCAGUGUAAAGAACAAUAGGUAUGUUAAAGAGUAGAUUCAGGUGUUUGCUGAUCUAUAGGGUGCCAAUUUACCACCCUGAUAAGAUAGCAAAAAUAGUUGUUGCGUGUUGUGUUUUGCACAACAUUUGCAAUUGUGCAGAGCUGCCCGUUCCCAUGAUUUCAGAUGAUGAGAUUACAUGUACAUUAAGGUGGUCAUGUUGAAUUACUUUGUUAAAUUUUACUAAUUAGCUAACUUAUAGUGUGAAGUAACUUCAAAUAUAAAUGAAUGAUUUAUAAAAA